UGGGGAAUCUUCCGCAAUGGGCGCAAGCCUGACGGAGCAAUGCCGCGUGAGUGAAGAAGGCCUUCGGGUUGUAAAACUCUGUCCUCAUCCAAGAGAAGGAAAGGUAGUAACUGACCUUUCCAGGACGGUAGAUGAGGAGGAAGCCCCGGCUAACUAUGUGCCAGCAGCCGCGGUAAAACAUAGGGGGCAAGCGUUGUCCGGAAUCACUGGGCGUAAAGGGCGCGCAGGCGGUCUGUUAAGUCAGAUGUGAAAGGUUAGGGCUCAACCCUGAACGUGCAUCUGAUACUGGCAGACUUGAGUAUGGAAGAGGUAAGUGGAAUUCCUAGUGUAGCGGUGAAAUGCGUAGAUAUUAGGAGGAACACCAGUGCCGAAGGCGACUUACUGGGCCAUAACUGACGCUGAGGCGCGAAAGCGUGGGGAGCAAACAGG
rnacentral:rRNA from 1 species